rnacentral:rRNA from 1 species
AACGAACGCUGGCGGCAUGCCUAACACAUGCAAGUCGAACGAGACCUUCGGGUCUAGUGGCGCACGGGUGCGUAACGCGUGGGAACCUGCCCUUAGGUUCGGAAUAACUCCCCCAAAGGGGUGCUAAUACCGGAUAAUGUCUUCGGACCAAAGAUUUAUCGCCUUUGGAUGGGCCCGCGUUGGAUUAGCUAGUUGGUAGGGUAAAAGCCUACCAAGGCGACGAUCCAUAGCUGGUCUGAGAGGAUGAUCAGCCACACUGGGACUGAGACACGGCCCAGACUCCUACGGGAGGCAGCAGUGGGGAAUAUUGGACAAUGGGCGAAAGCCUGAUCCAGCAAUGCCGCGUGAGUGAUGAAGGCCUUAGGGUUGUAAAGCUCUUUUACCCGGGAUGAUAAUGACAGUACCGGGAGAAUAAGCUCCGGCUAACUCCGU